rnacentral:lncRNA from 1 species
CUGCAUUUCCGCCGGCGCCCAAGCGAUGAAGGGCGGGUCCUGCAUCCGAGGCAUCCCCGAUCCAUCCAGCAUCUUCUCGCGCAGUCUUCUUCGACCCGCUGCCACAGUCCCGGCGCCCCAGGCCCUGCGCAGAUGAAGACCCUCCCUCGGACGGCUUUGCGGGCCCUGCCUCAGCCGGCGCCCCCUUCUCUCCUGCAGGACCCGGACCCGCGCUGCAGGGGCUGAGUGCCCCCUGGGUUGGCGUCUGAGUCUUGCCUCCCCGUAGGCUCAGUACCUGGCACGUGUCCAAGGCUCAGCAGCUGUACCACAACCACCCAACAGGAGAGAAGGAAAGGAGAGGUGCACCCCGGGGAUGUGAGGAGGCAGCACCGGGCAGAGGGGCCCUUGAGAGAUGUCACCAUCCUGUUAAGAAAGGGCUGGACCACAGCACUGCAGAGAUGAGUCCACGGUGUGCAGAGGCCGUCGUGGAAGUUGUCGUGUCAGCAGCGCUGUAGACCGCAGUGUCCUUGAGGGGUGCUGCUUUGGAAGAAGCCUCGGGGGUCAGAACCACUCGCCCUCUCAAGGUGAGGACCUGGGUCCCAGCUCCCCCGGAGGGUCCUCCUCAUGGUAUUUAGGGGCUGACCGCGGACACUGGCGUAGCAGCGUGAAGCAGGAUGUUGUCGCAUGACCAUCGCCAAACCUUUCUCUUCUGUUGCCUCAGCACAGCGUGGAAGGACUCUGCCCUCUGUGUGAACAGGGCAGAGGGGAAGUUCUGGGGCUCCAGGGACUUGGGGUUCAGAGCUGGAGACCUUCUACUGGCUCCCAGCAGGUGCCUCAGAACACUGCUGACCAGGAAGACUGUCUCUUCCCAUCUGGACCAGGUCAUCCCGUGGCUUCUGUGUCUCCCAUUUGCUCCUAGUAUAACUUUUUAGAACCAGGAGUUCCUGUUGGAGUCUUGUGUGCCGUGCAUCUUAUCUUCUCACCCACUUAAAUAAAUCUCGAAACUGC